CGUGUAGGCGGCUCAUCAAGUCUGGUGUGAAAAUGCAGGGCCUAACCCUGCAGAUGCGCUGGAAACUGGUGGGCUUGAGUUCCUGAGGGGAAGCUGGAAUUCCAGGUGUAGGAGUGAAAUCUGUAGAUAUCUGGAAGAACACCGGUGGCGAAGGCGAGCUUCUAUCAGAGGACUGACGCUGAGGCGCGAAAGCGUGGGGAGCAAACA
rnacentral:rRNA from 1 species